UUGUAAGUCAAUGAGCAUUUGUACUAAAAUUGUAAUGACAGAAUAUUAACAUAGUCCCUGAACAAAGAUGACAUGAAAAUUUGUGAAGAUUUCCACAUUUUU